GCUGGUAUGGCAACACACUCCCAGCCUAAACUUUUCCAUAGGUGGAAUCCACCGAUGAAUCCCUACUGAACAUCCUGAUUGUGGUGACCAAAAAAGAUGUAGUUCUGAAAAAGUCCUAAAACAGCUGAGCCACAGAGAGCCCUAGGUUUUGGCAUAUAGAAAUAGUCAACGUUGUUGAAAAAACAACAACAACAAAGAAAAAACAUACCUGAAAGUGGAGUUUGUGGGAGAAGAGACAACUAGAGCUGUAUAGAUUAGAUCAUGGUGGUCUCCAUAAAUAGACCGGUUGCAGAAGAGUGGAUGAUGGGGGGACCACAGCCAAACAUCAGGACAGAAGUCUGCAUGAGUCGGCAGCUAUAUACACCCCAAAGGCUCUUUUAAGAGCCACAUCACGAGAGCGUCUUUGGCUUUUGGCACCUACAUACAACCCAAAGGCUCUUUUCAUCGCC